rnacentral:lncRNA from 1 species
GGCAGUCGGCAAAGACGGUGAAGACCGUGUAGUCUUCCGGCCUCAGGUUGCGCGCGUGCGUGACGUGGCGCCAAACGUGAACGGCGAGUGAUUGGAACGUGGAAAAUGGCUUUGCGCCGUCCGGUGGAGGGUUUGCGUUGACCGUUGACUUUAUCUUAUCGACGGCGGAUUCUGGGAACCGGAAGACCUUCUCCCGCAGCUUAGGCUCCUGCUGUUUGGCUUCGCCGUUAGAUUCGGCGCUGGCCGCCACCGGGUCUGGGGGCAGGGAGAGGUCGAGC